rnacentral:rRNA from 1 species
AUUGAACGCUGGCGGCAUGCCUUACACAUGCAAGUCGAACGGUAACAGGUCUUCGGAUGCUGACGAGUGGUGAACGGGUGAGUAAUACAUCGGAACGUGCCUAGUAGUGGGGGAUAACAACUCGAAAGAGUGGCUAAUACCGCAUGAGAUCUACGGAUGAAAGCAGGGGAUCGCAAGACCUUGUGCUACUAGAGCGGCCGAUGGCAGAUUAGGUAGUUGGUGGGAUAAAAGCUUACCAAGCCGACGAUCUGUAGCUGGUCUGAGAGGACGGUCAGCAACACUGGGACUGAGCAACGGCCCAGACUCCUACGGGAGGAAGCAGUGGGGAAUUUUGGACAAUGGGCGAAAGCCUGAUCCAGCAAUGCCGCAGGCAGGAUGAAGGCCUUCGGGUUGUAAACUGCUUUUGUACGGAACGAAAAGCCCCGGGUUAAUACCCUGGGGUCAUGACGGUACCGUAAGAAUAAGCACCGGCUAACUACGUGCCAGCCGCCGCAGUAA